AAAAGUUUAACGGCCGCGGUAUCUUGACCGUGCGAAGGUAGCGCAAUCACUUGUUUCUUAAAUGGAGACCUGUAUGAAUGGCAUGACGAGGGCCAACCUGUCUCCUUCUCCUAGUCAAUGAAAUUGAUCUCCCCGUGCAGAAGCGGGGAUAAGAACAUAAGACGAGAAGACCCUUUGGAGCUUUAGACUACAAGCAGACCAUGCUAAUUAGACCCAGUUAAAGGAACUAAGCCAAUUGGGUAUCUGCCCUAAUGUCUUCGGUUGGGGCGACCACGGGGAAACAAAGAACCCCCAUGAGGAGCAGGAGAACUUUUCUCCCAGAACUGAGACCGACAGGUCUAAGUACCAGAAAUUCUGACCAAAAGAUCCGGCCAAGCCGAUCAACGGACCAAGUUACCCUAGGGAUAACAGCGCAAUCCCCUUUUAGAGCCCAUAUCGACAAGGGGGUUU
rnacentral:rRNA from 1 species